ensembl:lncRNA
GUUGGUUCUUUAUACAGUAACGCCAAAGCCUGUUGCAAACAUUAUAGAUAGCCAUCUCUGGUAAAGUAUUUUACUGUGAAAACAAUCAGGGUGUCCCUCUCCCCCUUCUCUGCCCAGGAAUAACCUGAGAUCAAUAUUGAUGAACUGCAAACACUCAUGACAGGGAGGCCAACAGAAAGUUGACCCCCAGAAUUAUGAAUGUUGCACCACAUUUCCAUGACCCUACUGAAAUUCCAUUUGUAAAUAGGGGUUCAUUGAUGAUGCGUGAAGAACUCUAUUUUCUACCCUAUGGCACCCCAUUACAUUUAGGCUUAAGUGUUUGAGCAAUAGGGUGACAUUACUUUUUAUAUUGGUUUGAUUAAUCCUUCAACUGCUUGAAUAGUUGUUUGCUUUACCCAAUUACUAUUUUGCUGUCAACAAGAGAAAUCCCCCCGAAAGAGUUUACUGCAUAGCAUUACAUAGUAGUUUGUCAAGAAUUAUGAGAACGGCAGACAAAAUGCCAUAACUUAUUAUGUACAUCCAUAAUUACUCAACUUUGCACAGUCACUAGACUGCAUCUCCUUACAGAGCUGUGCUGAUCGGUUGAAUGGUAGACUUGUUGGUUUUUAAGCAGUGCGUUGUGCUGUUCUUUUUUUUCCGUUUAGACAAUGUUGAGCUGGUGUUGGAUUCAUCAGCCAUUCCUGAAUCAGGCACUGCCAAAGUGAGGUCCAGACCCGCAGUCAAGCACUACAUGUCCUCCUCUGAUGUUGUGCAAGGGUUUGCUGUCCCAACACCCAAAGUUCCUGUCCUCCCCCCUUUCAACAGUCCAAAGAUCAACAGGGCAGUAAAUGCCGAUCGGUUUUCCAAUGGAUCGGCUAUAUCUGUGCCCGAUUUGGUGGAUGGGGAGAUAUUUAUUCCACCUCCCCCUACAAUGGCACCCCCACCCCCCCCACCCAUGUUCAUCCCUCCCCCACCAGAUUUCUUGGGUGACUUGGACUCCCUUCAGCCUCCCUCCAUGCCCCCUCCAAAACCUCCAUCAGUGCUUCUGUCUAAAGAGUACGAGGAUUUCACCUCCCUGAAACCUCCACUAAUGCGCCCCCCGAAGCCCCCGUCAACUUCCUCCAGUGCUUCUAGUUCAUCUUUGUCCAUUUCUAUACCAACACCAGUCCCUGAUUUUACUGAGCCCCCAAAGUUUGCCCCUCCACAGCCCCCUAUAGACAUGAGACAAGCUGCUCUGAAAGCCCUGAAGACCCCGCCUCCAAAGCCAACAAGGCUGUCCUCCAUCCACAGCAUGGACGAAGCCUCCCAGGUUCCAGCCCAAGCUUCCCCAGUACAGACCCCAACACCCUCCAGCUUCAACCCCCAGAACACAGCUAAGCUGGUCAAGCAGGAAGCGUCUCCAGGCCGGAAUAACAAGUUCAGUCCUAUGCUGGACAGUAAACUACGCAACCUGAAGGCCAGUGAUGUCACUGGGAUGAGGGGGGACGGUCCUGCCGCUUCCCCCCUGGCUUUUCUCAUGGCGGCUAAAGAGCGAGAGAGGCACAGGUCCAGUCUUUCCCUUGAAAACAGCACAAAGAGUAAUGAGCCAUUAUCCAGCAUCCAGCACAGUGAAUUCAAUCCCAAUUCUUUCACCGUCAUCCCUAGGGCCACCUCAUUCACUUCUGUAACCUCACAACAUAAACCACAGUCUGUGGUCCCACUGGAGGCCACAGUGGUAAUCCAGAUUCCAGCAAAACCCCAGAUUAUUGAGUCAGCGGUGAAGGGGCCAAUUGCAAAUCCAGCAGUUAAAAGGAUUCUGCCCACCUCUAGAUCCUCAUCCUCCAGCAGUCUAGCCAUGGAGAAGCAAAGUGGAGAGCAGAGGAUUGAUUCACCCUCUAGCCUUGUCAGGGAUGACGAGAACCUAUGCAUGCCAUUACUCCCUCCCCCUCCCGAAUUCGAUGACCAUGAUGUCGUGGACUCUCCUCCCAGCUCACCUCCACCUGACCCUCCACUGAAGAAGGUCCUCCCUCCCACUCCCAGCCCUGUCCUUCCAGUCCUGUCCUCUACUGCCAACCCUGUCCUUCCUGUCAAAACUCCCUCGCCUCCCCCUCCAAAACCUAAAUCUCCAAGCCCUCCCAAAUUCCCACCUCCUGUCAUGGAGAUCAAACCCAAACUGCCUGUUCAGAUCAAACCCAAGCCGCCUCCUACCCAGGCCCUCUCAGCCAGCCAGGCCACACUCCAGAGCAUCCUGCAGAAGAAGAUGCUAGAGAUGGACUGCAAAAUGGACAACAAAAUGCUGGCCAUGAAGGAAACAGACUCUGAUGACUGGGGGUCUCCCUUGUCUGAUGAGACCAAGUUCCCGGUUGUCCCCAGAGUCAUCCCGAAAAACCCUGUUAUCACUACAAAGAGCAAGAGUGCCACUGUGCCAGCCACAACACAAGGAGUUGACAUGAAGGAGCUGGAGACAAAAAUGGCCAUGAAAGUUCAGGGUUUGUCAGAGCCAUCAAGAGUUCCCACAAGCAAUGGGCCACGGUCAAAGCAGGCGUAUGGCAUGACUUUCAUGGUACAACCCGGAACCAAACAACCAAUCACUGUUGUCAGCAAAUGA